rnacentral:misc_RNA from 1 species
AAUAUUAUAUUAAACGGAUCAAUUGAUAUUAUUCGUAUUUGGAUUAAUUUUGUAUGAUAUCCAAUUAAAUAACAGUCAUGUCCUUUGUGGCACUAACCUAAAAUAAAUAACGUUACAAUUAAUAGAUUGUUGGAAGAAACUUGUAUAAAUUUUGUUUUAUUUAAUUAUAUAAAAAAAUGUUGAGGAGAAGGCACGUUAACAUUAAAACUGUGAAAGAACUUGAUGCAUUUCCUAAAGUACCUGAACCAUAUGUAGAUAAAACUGCAGUUGGUGGGACUUUUUCUAUUUUUACAUUUUGUAUUAUAGCUUAUUUAAUAAUAGCAGAAACAAGUUAUUUCCUUGACAGUAGAUUACAAUUCAAAUUUGAACCAGAUACAGAUUUUGAUGCAAAAUUGAAAAUUAAUAUUGAUAUAACUGUGGCAAUGCCAUGUGGUCGUAUCGGAGCAGAUAUUUUAGAUUCUACGAAUCAGAAUUUAGUAGGUUUUGAUACUUUAGAAGAAGAAGAUACUUGGUGGGAGUUGAGUCCAGAGCAAAGAUCACAUUUUGAAGCUUUGAAAUAUAUGAAUUCAUAUUUAAGAGAAGAGUAUCAUGCGAUCCAUGAAUUACUUUGGAAAUCUAAUCAAAUUACAUUGCGCAGCGAAAUGCCAAAAAGAACUCACGAGCCAUCAUAUAUGCCAGAUGCAUGUCGUAUUCAUGGUAGUAUAAAUGCAAAUAAAGUAGCUGGAAAUUUUCACAUAACUGCUGGGAAAUCUUUACCUCUUCCGAGAGAUCACAUACAUAUUUCUGCAUUUAUGACUAGUAGAGAUUACAAUUUUACUCAUAGAAUUAAUAAGUUUUCUUUUGGAGGGCCUAGUCCUGGUAUUGUACAUCCUCUUGAAGGAGAUGAAAAAAUUGCUGACAAUAAUAUGUUGCUAUAUCAGUAUUUUGUGGAAGUAGUUCCCACUGAUAUAAGAACUUUGUUAAAUACAUUUAAAACAUAUCAAUAUAGCGUAAAAGAUCAUCAAAGACCUAUCGAUCAUUUAAAAGGAUCUCAUGGAAUACCUGGCAUAUUUUUUAAAUAUGAUAUGAGCGCUUUGAAAAUAAAAAUUACUCACCAACGUGAUACCAUAACACAAUUUUUAGUAAAAUUAUGUGCCACAGUUGGAGGUAUAUUUGUUACGAGUGGUUUGAUAAAAAAUAUUAUACAAAGUUUUUGGUAUAUCAUGUCUUGCAAAUUUUUCCAACAUGAGCCUGAUAUAAAUAAUCAAAGAGCAUCUGUUUACUCUAUCGCAAGAAAUUACGAAAGUCCGCAAACUAUAAAUUUACUUCAAGUUUCAGCACCCGAUAAUAUUGAUAUUAUGUUAAAACCUCAGAAGAACAGUUAUAUAAAUUGAUUUUAACCAUUGACGUUAACCAUUAACGUUAACCAUUAAUAUGCUGCAUUGAUUUUACAAUAAUUUUCGCUAGAUACCUAACAUAUUUGUUGAAUCUAGUAAAUAUUGUAAUAUAAUUAACACAUUCAAGACCAGUUCUACGUCAUUUCAAAAUAUGUAGCUCAAUGAACCACACCGAUCGUGAAUGUGUCAAAGUAUUAUUGUGCAUAAAGAAAAAUAUUUGAAAUAUAGAUCUAAUAUAAAUAA